AGAGUUUGAUCCUGGCUCAGAACGAACGCUGGCGGCGUGCUUAAUACAUGCAAGUCGAACGAGAAAUCCCGACUUCGGUUGGGAGAGUAAAGUGGCGAACGGGUGAGUAACACGUGGAAAAUCUGCCCUUAUGUCUGGGAUAAUGUUCCGAAAGGGAUUGUAAUACCGGAUAAUACCUUAGAGCGGCAUCGCUUUAAGGUCAAAGGCGGGGUAACCUGCCGCACGAGGAUGAUUCCGCGCUCCAUUAGCUUGUUGGUGAGGUAACGGCCCACCAAGGCUGCGAUGGAUAGCCGACCUGAGAGGGUGACCGGCCACACUGGGACUGAGAUACGGCCCAGACUCCUACGGGAGGCAGCAGUAGGGAAUAUUGCGCAAUGGACGAAAGUCUGACGCAGCAACGCCGCGUGGGUGAUGAAGCAUCUUGGUGUGUAAAACCCUGUCAGUGGGGAAGAAACGUAUAGGGAGUAACUGCCCUGUGCCUGACGUACCCACAAAGAAGUCCCGCUAACU
rnacentral:rRNA from 1 species